rnacentral:rRNA from 1 species
GACGUAGGAUGCAAGCGUUGUCCGGAUUUAUUGGGCGUAAAGAGUUCGUAGGUGGUUUGGUAAGUCUGAUGUUAAAUACUGGGGCUCAACCCCGGAACUGCAUUGGAAACUACCAGACUGGAGUGCAGUAGAGGCGAGUGGAAUUCCCAGUGUAGCGGUGAAAUGCGUAGAUAUUGGGAAGAACACCAGUGGCGUAAGCGACUCGCUGGGCUGUAACUGACGCUGAGGAACGAAAGCCAGGGGAGCGAAUGGG